GGCAAAACCUUUUAUUUGCCUCCCCUUAGGGCUAUAGUGACAACGUGAUUGCCCGUAAGAACGAGGACGCGCCUUUUUACGUACCACGGCGAGCGAUUAAACAUCAACCCAUGCAGAGCCCCGUUGCGUAAAGCGUGAAAAUAGGCUAACUACUAAAGCCAGAGUACAGAGAAAAAAUCAUGAAGGCAUGGCCGUAACUCACUGGGAAACUCCAUAGCGGUAUCCGCAGAGCCCCUCACAGGGUCCUCGCGGUUUGGCCCAUAGGUCCGUCUAUUGGCCAUUAAUUGGAAACGAAGCUCUUUUGUGGAUCUGUUGUGCACUUAUCCGAGUACAGGUUGGGUGGCGUGGAGACCAAGUGGGUAACUCUGUUGCCUCACAGCAAGAAGGUUCUUCAUCUGAAUCUGCUGGUUCUCCGUGUGCGUUAGUCAUGUCCAAUGGUAUCCCACCUUACGAACAGCAUGCAACCCUCCACAGGAUAAAGCAGGUUUUGGGCUUGCAGCCAGCUAGAUCUACUCUGGCGCGACACAAGACAGGAAGCUGACAUAAAAGAAUGGGGGAACCGACUGCGAGGGACGUAGGAGCCGAGGCAGGAGCCAAGACAGCGGCCACUGGCGAGGUCGG